ACGCGGAUGGUCGGCCGGCACGGCCCGAUGCCGAUGAUCUCGGUGGCCGCGGGCAUCAGUUGCGGCGCGUCGUUCUUCGUGGCGCUGGUGUGCC
rnacentral:tRNA from 1 species